GCCGGGGUGGUGGAAUUGGUAGACACGCUGGUCUUAGGAACCAGUGCCCAAAAGCGUGGAGGUUCGAGUCCUCUCCCCGGCACCA
rnacentral:tRNA from 1 species